AUGUGUGUGUGUGUGUGUGUGUGUGUGUGUGUGUGUACUGGGGGAAGGGGUUUUCAAAUUCUGUUAUCCUUGUUUCAGCCGAUGAACACCUACAGGCUGGUAAGGCAGGUGCAUUUCAGAAUCAGAAGCUGCAGCCGUGGAAAAAAAUGCACAGCAUUGCUGCCAAUCACAUACUGCAUGGCUGAGACCCACAGUUCACUGCGCGUGUGUGUGUGUGUGUGUGUGUGUGCGCCUAGCAUCCUCCCCCCAGCGGGAAGGGGGUCCCCUCCCUCCCACCUAUGCCAUCCCCGGGGUGGGGGGAGAGCCGUCGCUGGGAUAGAAGCCUCGCUCAGCAGCACGAGGACCCUGAGUGCCAGAUUGCUUUCUCCACACCUGCAUCUCAUUCCCCUAAGCUCACGCGCACCUUUCCCCUGUCUCCUCACUCAGCGGCGGUCCGAGGGGACGCCGUUUCCACCUGGCUCAGCUCACGUCUUCCUUGCACCAGGCUCUGAAGGCCACGGAUGCCCAGACAAAGACUCCCCAACCCCCCCUACCCCCGGCUGCUCCUGCCUCCCAAGGCACCGGGCAAUCAGGGUCGGGGGGCUCUGCAGGCUGCGUGCAUUUACGCACUCUCCCUCCAGCAGCUUCUCACCCUGCACACAUCAGGACUUAUGUGAGGCACGGUGGACCACCCCCCCCCCGCCACCCCACCCCGGCCAACUGGGGGCCACCCGAGGGGGACCCCAGAAUCAGAGCGUGCUGGGCCUGAACUCUGUGUCUUUUGAGAGUGUGGGGAUGGAUUCUUCGUCUAGGCCCCACUUCUCCGGUCCUGCACCCCACAAACGCCUCCAACCCCCCCCCCCCCCCCCGGGUAGUGACUUCUUCAGGGUCCUCAGCUGGGUAGGCCGAGUCCCUCCCCUCCUCUCUGCCCACCAGCCGUCAGCUGUAAACACAGCACAGCCCGCAGGAAAGGUGUGUGUGUGUCAGGAUGGGGCCAGCAUCCUUCUCCUCGUGCACAUGGCCCAGCGGGCAAAGGAGAGAGGGAGACACACGCAUAUGGGGUGGGUGGGUGGGGGUGGCCUUCCUGUCAUGCAGGGCAGAAGCCUGGACCCCUGUUCCAGAAGGUCCACCCGUGCCUGCUCGGCUCUCCAUCUCUUUCUCCCAGACCUGUGA
rnacentral:lncRNA from 1 species